CUCGUAGGCGGCUCAACAAGUCGGCCGUGAAAACCCAGGGCUCAACCCUGGGACGCCGGUCGAUACUGUUGUGGCUUGGGUCCGGUAGAGGAGAAUGGAAUUCCCGGUGUAGCGGUGAAAUGCGCAGAUAUCGGGAGGAACACCAGUAGCGAAGGCGGUUCUCUGGGCCGGUACCGACGCUGAGGAGCGAAAGCGUGGGGAGCAAACA
rnacentral:rRNA from 1 species